rnacentral:lncRNA from 1 species
GUCAAAGAGCAAGGUAGCUUCACUCCCUGUGACAAUCUAUGGGACUAAGGCAGAGAUAGAAUAGCUUAUUUUGUCUCGGCUUGUCUCAGGCACGUGGUUAAAACCCUCCAGGUGCCUUAGCUUUUCUGUUCUGUGAAAGCAUCUUUGUUAGCUCUGCUAGAGAGAGACUGUUAAAAGAUGGCCUUAACUUCUUGCCUCCGUUACCAGAUCUCAAGGAGCACAUUCCAGGGGCUUCAAUCUGAUUUGGGUGCAUUCUUUUUUCUCAGGAAAUGCUAGUGGCUUUUGUAGGGCUGCUGGAAGAGCAGAGGUCCUGUUGGAGUAAGGGAAAGCUGCCCAACUUCAAGCCUUUACUGGAAAGUUGCCCUGCAGCUAACUGAAAAACAUGGCUUCAAUGUGAGAAGUAACUGAAGCACACAUUGGCAGUGGGUGGCAGAAGGGCCCAAGGUUUCAAAAGCAAACUGCAUGGGACCGCUGAAGAAACAGUCCAUUGAAAACCCACCUCAUGUAAGUUUUAGGCAAAGGUGGUCUCCAGCCCUUUCAAGCAGAAUUUCAAGUUGCUGAGCUCAUCCUCCAGCACCACUUGGUACUACUCAGGGUAGCACUUCCAUUGCCAGGAUCCAGCUCAGUAGAACAGUCCAUCUUUGCUCUCAUCAUUUGGCCCAAGCACACCUCAGCACCCAGCAAGUUCCCUCAUUCCUACUGAAGAGAUGGGAAUCCAGUGUUCAUCCUGAGUACCCUGCUACACCUUCUGCUUCCGUUUCCAUUUGCAAGAAGUGUUUGCUGCUUCUGUGGAAUUUAUUAAAGAUUUCUUUAAUAAAACUACUGUUG